rnacentral:lncRNA from 1 species
UUUGCUGUUGGUGGGGGCAGGGAGCAUGGUACAGGGGUGACUGAGUUCCUGCUUUGUUAGUUCCCACUGAAACUGAUUGACAAAAAGGGCCUGGCACCUCUCUCUUCUCUCUCUUUCUCUCUCUCACCAUGUGAUCUAUGCAUGCCUGUUCCCGUCUGCUUGCACUAAGAAUGGAAACAGCCUAAGUUCCUCACCAGAAGCAGAGGCUGGCACCAUGUUUGUUAUGCAGCCUGCAGAACCGCUGGGGACAGCUCUCUGAAAAUAGGAAUAAAUAGUGGCUCCUCGAUAAACACCUUCUUGCCUACAGCAUGUGUGACUGCAAACACAUUCCCACUUCAACUAAUCCAAGACGAGAAGGAUGACAAAAUAAGAGAAAUCAUGGGAAAAACUGCCCAUUUCUGUUUUGUCCACUUUGCUUUGGGAAGUGAGAGCUAUAGUCAUUAUCACCACAUCCCCUGGCAUCCAAUUCCACCAUCGAACUCCAAGUACUUCAGAUUUGGAACUCGGACUGCUUUCCUUGCUCCUCAGCCUGCAGAUGGCCUAUUGUGGGACCUUGUGAUUAUGUAGUGAGACGAGCAUGAGUGGAGCAGGAGACGGCUGUCCCCCACCCACAAGGAAUAUCAGAUGAUGGUUCAGCGAUCAUCACAUUGCCUCUCUGAAAGUGAUAAAUUGGCAGCUGGCACCAGGGAGAGGCUAUUUCCUGAUGGCCCACACCUGUUGCACUAAGAUGUUAAUCGAAUGCAGAUUCCAGGGAGAAACAACUUCCUGGGCAUGUGCGUAAGAGACAAAAUGGCAGGUAUGACCUUCUGGGGACACUCCACCAGAAAAGGGAAGAAAACCUCAGAUGGGCAUGCAUAUAACUUCCUAAACACACUGCUCACACUCUCCUCCCAAGGGUAAGGAGGGCACUGCACAUGCAGGCAGCCCAUCCUAAGGGAAGCAUCCUGGGAAAGGGGUCAGUCUAUAUGGUUCUGGGAUCAAGAUUAAACACCACAUUAGACCUUCAAGUUGCCCACUUGGGUCUCUUCUAUGUGUAUUUUUCUUUCCUUUCUUUUCUGCUCUAAAGCUUUUUUAAAUAAACAUACACAUCCCUCCUCUGAAACUUGCCUUGGUCUCUUUUUCUGCCAUAUGCAACUCAGUCAAAUUAUUUCUUCUGAGGAGGAAAAAAUUGAGGUAGCUGCAUUCCCAUACAGAUUCACCAUCGGUAACUCAGAUACCUUCUACUGGCCAUAUGUUUGGUGUUCUAUUCAAGAAAUAAUUGCUAAAGCCAAUGUCUUAAAGUGUUUUUCUUAUGUUUUUCUUCUAAGAGUUUUACAGUUUCAGGUCUUACACUUAAGUAUUUAAUUAAUUUGAGUUGAUUUUAUGCAUGGUGUAGGAUGUGUGUAAUAUUCAGUUUUUCUAACACUAUUUGUUGAAGAGACUAUUCUUUUUCCACUGUGUAUCCUUAGAAGCAUUGCUGAAGUGUUGUUG